CCUACGGGAGGCAGCAGUGAGGAAUAUUGGUCAAUGGCCGGAAGGCUGAACCAGCCAUGCCGCGUGAAGGUCAGUGCCCUAUGGGCGGUAAACUUCUUUUGUGCGGGAGCAAUAAUGGUCACGUGUGGCCAGACGAGAGUACCGUACGAAUAAGAAUCAGCUAACUCCGUGCCAGCAGCCGCGGUAAUACGGGGGCGGCAAGCGUUAUCCGGAUUUAUUGGGUUUAAAGGGUGCGUAGGCUGUGAGGUAGGUCAGAUGUGAAAUGCACCGCUCAACGGGGGGAAGUGCCAUUGAUACUGGGUUGCUGGAAUGCGGAUGCGGUGGGAGGAAUGUGUGGUGUAGCGGUGAAAUGCAUAGAGAUCA
rnacentral:rRNA from 1 species